rnacentral:lncRNA from 1 species
GCCGUUGUCGAACAUGUCCUCGGACUGCGGGUCCAGGGUCCAGUAGUUGCCCUUGCCCGGGUUGCCCGGCUCGCGGGGGAUCUUGACGAAGCAGUCGUUGAGUGAGAGGUUGUGGCGGAUGCUGUUCUGCCAGGCGGGGAACUUCUCCCUGUAGUAGGGGAAGCGGUUGCUGAUGAACUCGCAGAUGCCGCUCAGGGUCAGCUUCUUCUGCGGGCUCUGCAGGAUGGCCAUGGUGAUGAGCGCGAUGUACGAGUAAGGCGGCUUCACUAGGCUGUUCUUGGGCUUGCUCGGGGCCAGGCCUCCCGCCGAACCGCUGCCCGCGCCAGGCCCGCCGCCGCUCGCGCCGCCCUCCUCGCCGCCAACACCGCCCUUGCAGCCGUCCGCCUCCGGCGCGCCCACGUCGCCCCCCGGUCCGGCCCCGGCUCCGGCCGCCUCCUUGGGCAAUGUCAGGGGCUGCUGGUGGGGCGGCUGAGGCUGUCCGUGAUGGGGUGCCGCCGGGGGCACCUCGUCCGCCUCGUCCAGGCGCAGCUCCGGCGGCCCCGCGGGGCUAUCGCAACCUGCGUCGCUGUCCUUCUCUUCCAGCCCGUCGUCGCCCUCGCCCACCACAUCGAUGUCCACGUCCUCGGCCGUCAGCACCGUCUGGCCGGACAUGUCGCUGGCGCUGCCGCCGCCGGAGAGGGUCAUCCCUCCUCGGGGUUGGUAGCGGCGGCGGGGAGGGGGCAGCGGGCGAUGAGGGUGUUCGGGGGCUGCCACGGAGCUCAGGGGAAGAGGGUUUGAGUGCCCCCGAAAGAUGGGGGGCAGGGAGAGGGGAGGGGGCCGCAGGUGGCUUGGGGCCCGCUGGGCUCAGCUCACACUCGGCGGCCCCGCAUCGCGUGGCGCGGGCUCUGCCGUCCGCCCCCAGCGGCCGCGCUCCGCGAACUCCUGCCGUCCCUGGCGCUCGGUACUAGGCGCUCGCUACCGCUCCCGGCCCCGGCGGUUCUCCACGCCGCGCCCCCUCACUUAGCCCGCCUUCCUCGGCCUCUGGCCCUGGCGUGGGGCGCAGGAGCGGUCCAGGCGGGCGCGGGACGCCGGGCGCCGAGCAGCUCGGGAGGGCGCGGGCAGGGACAGUAGCGGGGGGGCAGGGGGCUGGGUGUCAGGGACGCCGAAGCCCCGGUAGUCGAAAGUCCCGUUUUAAGGACUGGCCUGAUAGAUUACUUUCUACUUAAAGAUCCAGCGGGAGGCGGGGCCACGUGACCGUGCGUGACGUCAGGGCCGCGGCCGAGCCGGCCAAACUCAAGUUGGUUCAGGGAAUUGUCAACAAAGGGACGAGAGACGCGCAACUCCGCUCCGCACUGUGCGCCAGCAUCCCCGGGGCACGGAGGGCGCUGCGGCCCGCCCGGAGACCCCCCCACCCAGGCUGGAUCCGGGCCCUGGGGCCCAGGGAGCGGGUGGGUGUGAGUGUGGGUGGGUGUGAGCGAGUCAGGGCGUGGGCCUGGGAGCGUCCGCGGGACUGUGCGACUGUCGCUGCCCUGCCUUCCCCGCCCCCUCUCCCUUCCGCCCUUCUCCCCCCCACUUUGUCACACUCCUUAGACAGGGACUGGGCGACCUAGAACGAGGUUCCCAUAUCGUGUUUUAAAAAGCAAAACUUAGUCUCUGUUUUGCUUUUUGUUUCAUUGUUUUUAGCUUUAAAGAGUAAGAGCAGCGCACCCGGCUCCCUCCUGCUAAUUAGAUUUCAGAUUCCCCUCUGGCCUCAGUGCUCAUUCCGGGGAAGACACCUGCUGAGAUGUCUUUUUCCCCCUCCCCCAACCAAACCACUCAGGUCCUACCUGCUCUUUCCCGGCUUGAUGCGGGCGUGUUUUCCUGUAUGUAUUUUUUCGUGCGGCCACAAAAAGCAUCAGCUGGGGUUCCCGAAGGUCAGAAAAUGGCUAUUGAUUAAUCUACUAGAAUAGUUGCCGAGAGAAAUAAAAACGACGUAAAAUAGCAGGGAACCUAUAAAUAAAGAAGCCAUAACUGGCUACUUGGAGUUGUUAAACGACUUAGCAUAUGAAAAAAUCGGAAAUGAGGCGCUGGGGAAGGAGCUGGGAUUGGCAGCGGCCUGGGUAAGUCGAGUGGAUCCGGGAAGAGGCCUGGUGUCUUCAGGUUAGACGCAGCGCCCAGGGGCGGCUGAAGAAACGUGAGGGGUGCGGGCAGUGACUUCCCGGGCGGCGGGUGUGGACAAAUCCUCCAAGAUUUAACUUCCAAGAAAACCGGCGGCGGAGCGGGUGGAGGAGGCGAGGAUGUGUGGCCAAUGCACGCGGAGUGCAAGGCCGCCUAGUUGGGAGCCGCAAGAGCCUGCCUGGUGUGGCAGGCACACGGAACCCAAUCCCUGUCUGUCCGCUGCGGCCUGGGAGGGGAGCGCCGGCCUCACCAGAGGAAGGAGCACGAGGGGAGGAGUUCCGAGAGGAAAUAAUUAGUGAAAUAUUUGCAGAAGAUGCUGGGAUGUGGAUUUAAUUCCGGAUGGACAGUGGUGCUUCUGAUUCCCUCAGUCUGUUUCCCCACCCACGAUCUCCUCUUUCCUUGGCCUAGACACACCAAAAAUAAUUCAAUAAAAUAAAAAUAAAAAUUUAAAAAUCUGUAAACUUGCUUCAUUACAGGCAUUGAGACACACAGAUUGACUUUCAUCCCCAUUAGACAGUUUCCCAGGAUAUAACACUACUCAUCUGAGGCUGGGAGCAGGGUAGGGGGUGGUGACACUAUCCUGAGACGCCCGCCAACCUCCACAGUUUUUCUUUAUCUAAAUGAUCCCGAGGUUGCACACGGCCCUAAAACGCAUCUCAGAGUUGAUUUCCGUAGCUCCACAGCUUUGUGGCCCGCAGGCUCCGAACCGUUUACAAUGCCGUCUAGACAGCUUUCCGCGAAACCGACCCGAGCUGAGCUGGCUGGCCAUCGCCCAGGACUGCAGAGGUCGCGUCUGCAACUGCCUCAGCAACCGAAGUGUCGGAAGGUCCAAAAAAAAAAAAAAAAAAAGCUAAAAAGCGGAAAUUUACACAUUCAGGAACCUCCUUUGCUCUGCUUGGGUUGCCCAGCCCUAAAGGCAGGGGCCCGGGGCGCAGCGCUGGCCCUGCCGCGGCCUUGGUGGCUGGGCCCGCGUGGACUAGUAUGUGUGGAUGCGCGCCGGAGGAUGGUGGCUACAGGGCUCCCCUCACCGGUCUCGAAGUAGUCUCCAAAUGAGCCUAAUUUCGAUUCCGCCGUCCGCAGAGGCUAGCUCUCUGGACUCCCUCCACGCUGCUGGUCGCUGCCUCCUACCCUCCCUCUGCCACGGCCCAGCCUGAUCCGUCCAUUCCCCGGUGUCUCCUUGGAACCUCCCUGGGGAAGGGGGUGGAGGACGAACAACUCCCAGCUGCCGGUUCCAUUUGUUGCGCUUUUUUCCUUCGACACAAUAAAAGUCAAAUUAAUUGAUUCAUACCAUUAAUUACGGCGCGUAGCGUGAAAAGCAACGCUUCCCCUCGGUUAGAGAUCUAUUGUGCUAAUCUCUUGUUCAAUCAGUGUUACCAUCUGAUGCUGGGUCCGGCCCUUACAGAAACUUUUCGACUCGAUUAGCUAAAUGAUGAGACGUGCACAACCUACUGGCUGCGGCCCCGACGUCCCGCGCCCGCGCCGGCCUAAUAUCGAUUUCCAGCGGAGGCAGAGGAUUUUUCCGCGGCCGCUCUCGGCUCAGGAACCGGCCGCCGGCUUUCUCCCUCCAGGCGGACCAUAGCGCCUGCACAACCUCCGGGGGCGGGAAGGAGGCGAAGCGGCGGCCGGGGAGGGCGACAGGAAGGUUCCUGCUGGCCUUGACGCAGGAGGCCGCCCCAGCGGAAGGGUCCG